CCUACGGGAGGCAGCAGUGAGGAAUAUUGGUCAAUGGGCGCGAGCCUGAACCAGCCAAGUCGCGUGAGGGAUGACGGUCCUACGGAUUGUAAACCUCUUUUGCCGGGGAGCAAGCGUGCGUUCGUGAACGCGCGUCGAGAGUACCCGGCUAAAAAGCAUCGGCUAACUCCUUGCCAGCAGCCACGGUAAGACGUAGGAUGCGAGCGUUAGCCGGAUUGAUUGGGUUAAAGGGGUGCGUAGGCGGGAUGCCAAGUCAGCGGUAAAAAUGCGGUGCUCAACGCGGUCGAGCCGUUGAAACUGGCGUUCUGGAGUGGGCGAGAGGUAUGUGGAAGGCGUGGUGUAGCGGGGAAAUGCAUAGAUAUCACGCAGAACUGCGAUUGCGAAGGCAGCAUACCGGCGCACUACUGACGCUGAGGCACGAAAGCGUGGGUAUCGAACAGGAUUAGAUACCCUGGUAGUC
rnacentral:rRNA from 1 species